UACGGGGGGGGCAAGCGUUGUUCGGAAUUACUGGGCGUAAAGGGCUCGUAGGCGGCCAACUAAGUCAGACGUGAAAUCCCUAGGCUCAACCUAGGAACUGCGCCUGAUACUGGAUGGCUUGAAUCCGGGAGAGGGAUGCAGAAUUCCAGGUGUAGCGGUGAAAUGCGUAGAUAUCCGGAGGAACACCGGUGGCGAAGGCGGCUUCCUGGACCGACACUGACGCUGAGGCGCGAAAGCUAGGGGAGCAAACGGG
rnacentral:rRNA from 1 species